NUGGGCCCAGAAAGGGGAAUUUGGGGGAAAAAAAAAGGGAAAAAAAAAAAAAGGAGAGAGAGGAAAAAAAAAAAAGGCAAAAAAAUAAUAUUUAAAAAAAAAAAAAAGUGGUUCGGAUAAACCUCUGCUCACAGGGAAACGGAGGUCCCCAUCCCCAUCCCCGGGACCCCUCCGCUGCACCCCUCCAUCCCCGUCCCCCUCUCCAUUCCAUUCCUUCCCAUUCCCAUCAUUGGUGCCUCAUUCCCAGCCCUCUUCCACCCCAUCCCUUUCUGUCCCCAUCCCUGCUUCCCCUCACACCCCACUCCUGGUGCCUCCAACCCCCCUCUGCUCACAGGGAAACGGAGGUCCCCAUCCCCAUCCCCGGGACCCCUCCGCUGCACCCCUCCAUCCCCGUCCCCCUCUCCAUUCCAUUCCUUCCCAUUCCCAUCAUUGGUGCCUCAUUCCCAGCCCUCUUCCACCCCAUCCCUUUCUGUCCCCAUCCCUGCUUCCCCUCACACCCCACUCCUGGUGCCUCCAACCCCAUCCGUGCUCCAUUUGAAUCCCCAUCCCAACGCCACCCCCAUCCCCUCUCUCCCAUUUCCCACCCUGGAUCCCUUUCCUGUUCCCACCCCUGGUCCCCAUUUCCACCCUGGCUCUGUCCCUAUCCCUGCUGUGUCCCCCAGGCACCAUUUUGGGGUGGUUUCACCCCACCUCACCCCAGAGGCCGUAGGGUUCCCCUUCCCCUCCAUCCCUUCCCCUUCCUGUCCCUCUUUCCUUCUGCCUUUUUCUUUCUCUCCUUCCCAUCACUUUUCCCUUUCAUUUCCCUUCCUCCUCCCCAGCCCUUCUCUUUUCCUUUUCCCUUUUCCUUUUUUUUCCUGUUCACUUUUUUUCCCUAUUCCUUUUUCCUUUCCCCCUUUUCUCUAAAACUUCCUUUUCCUUUCCCAUUUCUCCUUUUCCUUUUUUGCCCUUUCCCUUUCUCCUUCCCUCUUCUCUUUUCUUUUUUCUCCCUUUCCCCUUUUCUCUCUCCUUUUUCCCCUUUUCCUUUUUUUCCUUUCCCCCUUUCCUUCUUUUCUCCUCCUUUUUUUUUUUACUUUUCUCACUUUUUUCCCAUUUCCCCCCCUUAUUUCCCACUCUUUUCUACUUCCUCCCCCACUUUUUCCUACUCUUCCCCCAACCUUUUCCCACUUUCAUCCUCAUUUCUUCCCCUUUCCCAUUUCCCUCCUCCUUCCCCCUCCUC
rnacentral:lncRNA from 1 species